rnacentral:rRNA from 1 species
GACGAACGCUGGCGGCGUGCUUAACACAUGCAAGUCGAACGGAAAGGCCCUGCUUUUGUGGGGUGCUCGAGUGGCGAACGGGUGAGUAACACGUGAGUAACCUGCCCUUGACUUUGGGAUAACUUCAGGAAACUGGGGCUAAUACCGGAUAGGAGCUCCUGCUGCAUGGUGGGGGUUGGAAAGUUUCGGCGGUUGGGGAUGGACUCGCGGCUUAUCAGCUUGUUGGUGGGGUAGUGGCUUACCAAGGCUUUGACGGGUAGCCGGCCUGAGAGGGUGACCGGCCACAUUGGGACUGAGAUACGGCCCAGACUCCUACGGGAGGCAGCAGCGGGGAAUAUUGCACAAUGGGCGGAAGCCUGAUGCAGCAACGCCGCGUGCGGGAUGACGGCCUUCGGGUUGUAAACCGCUUUCGCCUGUGACGAAGCGUGAGUGACGGUAAUGGGUAAAGAAGCACCGGCUAACUACGUGCCAGCAGCCGCGGUGAUACGUAGGGUGCGAGCGUUGUCCGGAUUUAUUGGGCGUAAAGGGCUCGUAGGUGGUUGAUCGCGUCGGAAGUGUAAUCUUGGGGCUUAACCCUGAGCGUGCUUUCGAUACGGGUUGACUUGAGGAAGGUAGGGGAGAAUGGAAUUCCUGGUGGAGCGGUGGAAUGCGCAGAUAUCAGGAGGAACACCAGUGGCGAAGGCGGUUCUCUGGGCCUUUCCUGACGCUGAGGAGCGAAAGCGUGGGGAGCGAACAGGCUUAGAUACCCUGGUAGUCCACGCUGUAAACGGUGGGUACUAGGUGUGGGGUCCAUUCCACGGGUUCCGUGCCGUAGCUAACGCUUUAAGUACCCCGCCUGGGGAGUACGGCCGCAAGGCUAAAACUCAAAGGAAUUGACGGGGCCCGCACAAGCGGCGGAGCAUGCGGAUUAAUUCGAUGCAACGCGUAGAACCUUACCUGGGUUUGACAUGGAUCGGGAGUGCUCAGAGAUGGGUGUGCCUCUUUUGGGGUCGGUUCACAGGUGGUGCAUGGCUGUCGUCAGCUCGUGUCGUGAGAUGUUGGGUUAAGUCCCGCAACGAGCGCAACCCUUGUUCACUGUUGCCAGCACGUUAUGGUGGGGACUCAGUGGAGACCGCCGGGGUCAACUCGGAGGAAGGUGGGGAUGACGUCAAGUCAUCAUGCCCCUUAUGUCCAGGGCUUCACGCAUGCUACAAUGGCUGGUACAGAGAGUGGCGAGCCUGUGAGGGUGAGCGAAUCUCGGAAAGCCGGUCUCAGUUCGGAUUGGGGUCUGCAACUCGACCUCAUGAAGUCGGAGUCGCUAGUAAUCGCAGAUCAGCAACGCUGCGGUGAAUACGUUCCCGGGGCU